GACGGAGCAAUGCCGCGUGGAGGAUGAAAGCCUAUGGGUUGUAAACUCCUUUUAUCAGAGAAGAAAUAUUGACAGUAUCUGGGGAAUAAGCAUCGGCUAACUCCGUGCCAGCAGCCGCGGUAAGACGGGGGAUGCAAGUGUUAUCCGGAAUGAUUGGGCGUAAAGCGUCUGUAGGUGGUUUACCAAGUCUGUGGUUAAAAAUUAGGGCUUAACCCUAAUCCGGCAACAGAAACUAGUAGGCUAGAGUACGGUAGGGGCAGAGGGAAUUCUCGGUGUAGUGGUGAAAUACGUAGAUAUCGAGAAGAACACCAACAGCGAAAGCACUCUGCUGGGCCGAAACUGACAUUGAGAGACGAAAGCUAGGGGAGCG
rnacentral:rRNA from 1 species